AGCUCAAUGGAAAAAAUGUCUCUUCUUCAAACGGUUCUAGCACUCGUGUCCCGGUCAACUGUUCAAGAACCAAGACGAGCUCAAUCCUCGCGCCUGUCCCUAAUCUUGUCCCUUCUGCUGACCCUCUUCCUUACUCCCACACAUGCAGCUACUAUCGACAUUGUCAACCGAUGCACACACACCAUUUGGGCCGCAACAUCGCCCAGUGGUGGACGCCAGCUUGAUCCUGGCUAGGUGUGGACCCUGCGCUACGCCCCAGGCAUAGCACUGGUGCGCAUAUGGGCCUGGACCAACUGCAGCUUCGAUGCCAAUGGCCAGGGCUAGUGCGAGACCGGCGAUUGCAACCAACUCUUGGAUUGCCGGAGCUGGGGAAGCCCGCCCAACACCAUGGUCGAGUUUGCCUUGGAUACUGAUGAUACGGUCAACAAACUGGACAUUCUAGACAUAUUGCUCGUCGAGUGGUUCGACCUUCCGAUGCACUUGAGGCCCACCACGGGUGCGUGCAGGGGGAUCAAGUGCUCAUAUGACAUCAAUAGCCCGUGCCCAAAGGAGCUGAAGGCUCCUGGUGGGUGCAGCAAUCCGUGCACAAUGUUCAAGACCACCGAGUAUUGUUGCACCAGUGGUAGAGUUAACCGUGGCUCAAUCGAGUUCUCCCAAUUCUUCAAGGAUAGAUGCCCAGAUACUUACAUCUCCCCACUGGAUGAUUCAGCGAGCUUCAGUUGCCCAACAGGCACCAACUAUACGGUCACAUUUUGCCCCACCUUCACCGUCCGCAACAACUGCCCCUACACUGUCUGGGCAGCCGCCUCUCCUGGUGGCGGUCGUCGCCUCGACCGUGGCCAGACUUGGACCCUCAAUGUUCCUGCGGGCACCUCCAUGGCCCGGAUCUGGGGCCGCACCAACUGCAACUUCGAUGCUAGUGGGCGGGGCCAUUGCCAGACUGGUGACUGCGGGAACGUCCUUCAGUGCACAGGAUGGGGCGUGCCCCCCAACACCCUGGCCGAGUACGCGCUGAACCAGUUCGGCAACCUGGACUUCUACGACAUCUCCCUGGUCGACGGGUUCAACAUCCCCAUGGAAUUUAGCCCCACCAGGCCGUCGUCAAAAGCCAAGUGUAGGCAAAUCAAGUGCACAAGUGAUGUCAAUGGCCAGUGCCCUAACCAAUUGAAGGCCCCCGGCGGGUGCAACAACCCGUGCACGGUGUUCAAGACCGAUGAGUAUUGUUGCACCAAAGGCAAGUGUGGUCCAACCAAUUUUUCCAAAUUUUUUAAGAACAAGUGCCCCGACGCUUACAGUUACCCUCAAGAUGAUCCCACCAGCACGUUCACUUGUCCGAGCGGGUCGACCGAUUAUACGGUCGUGUUUUGCCCGAUGGGGUCGUCUUAUUUCCCCUUGGAGAUGUUCGGAAGCGAGAGCUCAGAAUGAAGGGUUUGGCUAAAUCGUGUGGCCAAACAGAGAAUACAUAAUUCAAAUAAAUGAUGAUGCUCUCGAGAAGAGCAACGUUCGGUGUUGCUGGUCGUGAUUUCCUCGAGUAGUUCUUGUGCUGUUUUAUUAUGUGUGUCGAGAAGUAGUUCCUAUGUUGUGUUGUUUCAUUGUGUAUGUAUCUAUAAGAAAUGCGACCUCAGUUUUCAAAUAAGAAAACCAAGUUAUCUUACGAGCAUG